GACGAACGCUGGCGGCGUGCUUAACACAUGCAAGUCGAACGGAAAGGCCUCUUUCGGGGGGUACUCGAGUGGCGAACGGGUGAGUAGCACGUGAGUAACCUGCCCUUGACUUUGGGAUAACUUCAGGAAACUGGGGCUAAUACCGGAUAGGAGCUCCUGCUGCAUGGUGGGGGUUGGAAAGUUUCGGCGGUUGGGGAUGGAUUCGCGGCUUAUCAGCUUGGUGGUGGGGUAGUGGCUUACCAAGGCUUUGACGGGUAGCCGGCCUGAGAGGGUGACCGGCCACAUUGGGACUGAGAUACGGCCCAGACUCCUACGGGAGGCAGCAGUGGGGAAUAUUGCACAAUGGGUGGAAGCCUGAUGCAGCAACGCCGUGUGCGGGAUGACGGCCUUCGGGUUGUAAACCGCUUUCGCUCAUGACGAAGCUUUGUGUGACGGUAGUGGGUAAAGAAGCACCGGCUAACUACGUG
rnacentral:rRNA from 1 species